rnacentral:rRNA from 1 species
GACGAACGCUGGCGGCGUGCUUAACACAUGCGGGUCGAACGGUGAAGCGCCUUCCUUUUUGGUGGGUGUGGAUGAGUGGCGAACGGGUGAGUAACACGUGAGUAACCUGCCCCCUUCUUCUGGAUAACCGCAUGAAAGUGUGGCUAAUACGGGAUAUUCUGGGUCUGUCGCAUGAUGGGUCUGGGAAAGAUAUUGUUUCGGUGGGGGAUGGGCUCGCGGCCUAUCAGCUUGUUGGUGGGGUGAUGGCCUACCAAGGCGGUGACGGGUAGCCGGCCUGAGAGGGUGGACGGUCACACUGGGACUGAGACACGGCCCAGACUCCUACGGGAGGCAGCAGUGGGGAAUAUUGCACAAUGGGCGCAAGCCUGAUGCAGCGACGCCGCGUGAGGGAUGGAGGCCUUCGGGUUGUGAACCUCUUUCGCCAGUGAAGCAGGCCUGCCUCGUUUGUGGGUGGGUUGACGGUAGCUGGAUAAGAAGCGCCGGCUAACUACGUG